ACCUACGGGGGGCAGCAGUGGGGGAUAUUGCACAAUGGGGGAAACCCUGAUGCAGCGACGCCGCGUGAGUGAAGAAGUAUUUCGGUAUGUAAAGCUCUAUCAGCAGGGACGAAAAUGACGGUACCUGAGUAAGAAGCCCCGGCUAACUACGUGCCAGCAGCCGCGGUAAUACGUAGGGGGCAAGCGUUAUCCGGAUUUAUUGGGUGUAAAGGGAGCGUAGACGGUUAUGCAAGUCUGGAGUGAAAGGCGGGGGCUCAACCCCGGACUGCUCUGGAAACUGUAGAGCUAGGGUGCAGGAGGGGUAA
rnacentral:rRNA from 1 species